UGUGGCCAAGUGGUCGUACAUUGCAUUCCACCGGGCCAUCGGUGGCCGUGUCGGCGCCAGCUUUCCUCUACAGUAGUUCGCAGAUCGAAGAUCGAAGUGGAGGAGGAGGAGGAUGGCUCUUAUCCUCCGUGACAAUGCGUUGGUGGUCCUGCUCGAUGCUGCGCUCCCUGGCUGCCAGUUGCACAUAAAUGCAAUGGCGUUCGAGGAACCUGCAAGGGGCUGCAUUCGGAGGCAGAGGUGUCCAACCACAGUACAGAGAUGUGGGGACUGAUUGCUGGAUCCUGGAUGAUAUUUCUGAGCUCGUAACCCAGGGUUGCCUCCAACUGCCGUACUUUAUGGCCUGCAAGAAGGAAGUUAACAUCCAACAGGACCCCAGCGCAGUGUCAGGGAAGAAAACAGCUCUCCUCUGGAGACAGUAAAUAAACAUUUAGAG